GACGUAGGGCGCGAGCGUUGUCCGGAUUAUUGGGCGUAAAGAGCUCGUAGGCGGCUUGUUGCGUCGACUGUGAAAACCUGCGGCUCAACCGUGUGGUCUGCAGUCGAUACGGGCAGGCUGGAGUUCGGUAGGGGAGACUGGAAUUCCUGGUGUAGCGGUGAAAUGCGCAGAUAUCAGGAAGAACACCCGUGGCGAAGGCGGCUCUCUGGGACGGUGACUGACGCUGAGACGCGAAAGCGUGGGGAGCGAACAGG
rnacentral:rRNA from 1 species